rnacentral:rRNA from 1 species
CAGUAGCCGCGGUAAUACAGAGGGUGCAAGCGUUAAUCGGAAUUACUGGGCGUAAAGCGCGCGUAGGUGGUUUGUUAAGUUGGAUGUGAAAUCCCUGAGCUUAACUUAGGAAUUGCAUUCGAUACUGGGAAGCUAGAGUAUGGGAGAGGAUGGUAGAAUUCCAGGUGUAGCGGUGAAAUGCGUAGAGAUCUGGAGGAAUACCGAUGGCGAAGGCAGCCAUCUGGCCUAAUACUGACGCUGAGGUACGAAAGCAUGGGGAGCAAACAGGAUUAGAUACCCCGGUAGUCCCUGUCUCUUAUAC